GGUGAAGUCCUUUAUGGGGAUAAAGUUUCCAGAGAUGAAAUUUUAGGAUAUGUCGAGCCAACAAAGAAGGCGCAGUUGGAAAAUUGAGUAAUUAGUAAUGAAGUAGCAGGCAUAUUUGGAAAAUUAGGAACAAAUGCACAAUACUACCAAAUCUCGAAUUAAAAAAAAAAAAUAGGAUCGAUAGAAACCAUUGAGG